AAGAAGGUCACAACUCUAAGGGAUUAGGACUUCACCUUGGUUUUCCAAUUUAAUUCUAAAUUUACAAGUCUUUAAGUUCUGCGUUCUACUGCCACAUCUAUCAGUGCUCCAAAUGUCGGCUCUGAGAAACUGGACUAGGCCUUUAUGUUCCUCCUGUCUGAUCUGAUGUUGAGCUUCAUCCAUAGAGGGCACAGAUGGACUUUGCAGGAAGAAGAAUGUUGGAGCGAUGCAGCCAGUACGCAGAGGGUGUCUGUCCUACUCCACACAGUGCCACAGGACUGUAUCUGCCGUAACGAUGUUAGAAGAACUUGUGCUUUGCAGCGCAAACUUGCCAGCUGGAAACUCACCUCCACCGUGUGGACUGGCUCGAGACUGUGGCUGGGAGAAGAUCUUUGCAAUCCUUCAGUCUUGAAUUUGCUUCAGGGAUGUGACUCUCCUGUCUGCUCCUGAAAUGUAAGACCCGAGACCAGGGAAUGUGUAACAUUUCAUUAAAAUGCAUCUAUUAUGGGAUGUAAAAAUGGGAUGUUGUUUUCUCAGCUGCUGUUCAAUUCUCAGCACUGGGAACAAGUGUUAGGUUGCUACUGCGCGUAUCUUCUACGUGGUGCCAGCAUAUGUACGCAGGACUUAGUCCUAUGGUGGAGAAAUACUGGGUCUGUCCCCUUAGCCUAUGGCCUCCCUCUACAUUGUGUGAAAGGAAGAAAUAUGACAGAUGAAGAUGGUUCAAUGAAUAGAAUUUCCAAACAGUAAGGUGUUGGGAGUAAUUUUUGCUGCCUGUCUUCUCCUAUGGAGAAGAAAAAAAGAAAUUGCUUGUCAUUGACUUCAGACCCUUUUGGGGGCAAAGGGCGUCUUUCUGAACUUCCUGGAAAACUUAAGGUGAGUCUCCUAUGACUUGGAUAUUAGUCAUGAUUCAAACACGGAAGCUCUCUGACAGCACAGAAGGAAGCAGGUACCCUGCGAGAACACAGCACCUCUAUCAAGGAAAAGUUUUGGCUUUGCAAAGAUCCAGCUUGAAAGUGAUUGAGGGAUUAACUCGGUGCCGGAGUGGGGAAUCUCCUGACAGCUCAUGUGCGCUGCCCCACCAGAAACGGAGUUGAAGACCAGCGGAGGAGAUCUCUUGUGCUCAGGGAACAGUGUAUGGGGUCCCCAGGGAAGAUGAGUGUCCUAAAAAUACACAAAGUUGCCUCAGAAGAGAGGGAGCAAGCAUUUGGCCAUCUUCCCUGCCCAGCAGACACCAGCAAUAUCCAUAACUAACCUCCUGCUCCUCCCUCCUUCAAUCUGCUUGCUGAUCCCAAGGCCAGAGGCAGCAUCCUGAGCGCCAAGAACUUUCACCUUCAUCUCCUUGGUACCCACCUUUGCUUUUGGAACCGACAGGGAAGUCCAAGCAACCUGCAGAGAACCCAGUGGAGAGAGGAACCGAGCCCCGCUGAACUCCAGCCAAUGCCCAGCACCUACCUCCAGCCCAUGAAGAAGCCAUGUUGGAAGGAGACUGUGGAGUCCCCAUCGACACUCCUCUCUGUCCCUUGUGAGCAGAGAUGAGCCAUCCCCAUCCAACCUUGCCCAAGCGGCAGAUUGAUGAGAAAACUAUGCGGCUAUUGUGGUUUAAAGCCACUAACUUUCGGAGUGGUCUGUUACUUAGGAAUAGUGACCGGAUGGAUUGCCGGACCCACGGGGUCCGAAGAAGCUUUGGAUAGGAAGAGAUAUUAAAGCUUUCAUAGUUGGUGUAGUGUUUUGUGGUUUUUUGUUUUUUGCUUUUUCUUUUUUCAGCACAUGAGAACUGUUGAGCGAAAGAACUAGAAUGUCUGCUUAAGAUGUUCUGGCUGUGGAGAGAGAGCUCCUGCCGCUCCCCACUAGUCUGAAGUCAUUCCAGUUGGUGAGCAACAAUAAAGCCAAACCUUCUGAAUUUAUUUCUGCUCCUACCACAUAGGUCAAUUCUUAAGCAAAUAAGUUACUCGUAAAACAAAAAUGAGAAUGAUCUGUUAGAAUGUUCAGAGGGGUUGGCAGGUGAGUUGGCAUGACAAUUUAAAGAUAAGAAAAUGCCACUAUAUAUGAAUGAGAUUUGUACGCUAAAACAACCUUUUUUGAAAAACCCAGAAACCACUAGUAAACUUUGAAAGUCAUCAAAAGACUCUUCAAAGUGAGUAUAAGAUUACGGCCACUCCCAGGGUGCUCAUCUCUAUCUGUCUCCAGCACUAGCACAAUUACCGGUGAUUGCGUGAUGAAUGAUGACAAGUGAAUAAAUGAAAGGAUAUCUUUCUGUCUCAUAAGAUUAACCUCUACACAUGAUGGGAAACCAUCUCAAACUCAUCUUGGACUUCACCUCUUGGCUCACAACACAAUGAGUUACUUUGCCCAGAGGGGCUUCCCUGGUGCUACGGUUUAAAUUUAAAACGUCCUCCCACAGCCCUGAGUGUGGAGGUGGGCCUGGUUGGAAGAGGUGGCCGGUCCCUGGGGGCAUGAUCUGGGAGGGUGCCUUCUUGCCCCGGCUUCUCUUUCCCUCCUCCCUCCCUCCUUUCUAGACACCAUAAUGUGAGCAGCUUUUUUCCAUCGUGCCCCUUCUUCCAUACCAUUUCUACCUUGGUACCAUCAACCAUGAACCAGUUCUCCUAAAUCAUGAGCCAGUUCAACCUCUUCUCUUUUAAAUCGCAGGUGUCAGGUAAUUUGUCCCAGCAAUGGGAAAGUGACUCACGCACACGGCACUGUUUAGGACCAUAGCACAUCCUCACAGUCACCAGAACAGGCAGCACUUCGCUAUCUGUGCACCAGCCAGGAGAAGAUUUAAACUGAGGCAGCUAGGAAGGUUUCUAAUAAUAUUAGCAUGCUAUAAAUUCCUUAAAAA